AGUUCGGACUGAAGGCUGAAAUUCGCCUUCACGAAGUCGGAAUUGCUAGUAAUGGCAGGUCAGCAUACUGCCGUGAAUACGUUCCCGGGCCUUGUACACACCGCCCGUCACACCAUGAGAGUUAGGAAUACCCGAAGCCUGUGAGCUAACUUUUAGAGGCAGCAGUCGAAGGUAGAAUCAAUGAUUGGGGUGAAGUCGUAACAAGGUAAC
rnacentral:rRNA from 1 species